rnacentral:lncRNA from 1 species
AUGGUGACACUGAGUGCCAUGAGGAGCUUUUUUUAUCCAGACUUUCCCCAUCCUCAGGUUUUCAGGAAGGAUUUUCAUCUGUCAUUGUUUUCUGGCCCAGGAUGCACUGACAGCCCGAGAGGUCCUGCAGCCUCCAGCCCUGAAAGCAAACUGUACCUUUUAUUUCCUUUCAUUAUUGGAGAAAAAGAAUUGACCUCCUGGAACUUGUUUGAGCAGCACUGCUUCCCUCAGAGCAUUACUGAACGUUGCUUUAAAAGGGUGCAGCUGAUCCUACUGUCCUUGAACUCAAUAGACAUGGAUUGGCUAGGGAAAAACCCGAAGAAGCACUCCUCCAAGUCUCUACCCAUGGCUCUCCUGUGUCCCUGGAGCAUGCAGCAGCUAUGGAACAGACCCAUCUUCCCAGACUCUUCAGACUGAAAUUUCUAAUAGUGGCUAUUAAAGUUUUGUUUUCUUAAGAUCAUGUUGGAAUCCCACAGCCACCCUUUGGGCUCAAUUAAUAUUUUCUGCACUUGGAAUCGGGGACUCUGGCUGCUGGACAUGGACUCUGUCAGCAGAACAACAUCAAAUGCAUAAAACAAUGGGUGGAGACUGUUCCCUCCUGUCCUCAACAAUACAACAGCCAGAAGAAAUAAACCCCUCUGGGCUCAGGGAAUAAGAAUUGCU